rnacentral:rRNA from 1 species
GGUUAAGCGACUAAGCGUACACGGUGGAUGCCUAGGCAGUCAGAGGCGAUGAAGGGCGUGCUAAUCUGCGAAAAGCGUCGGUAAGGUGAUAUGAACCGUUAUAACCGACGAUACCCGAAUGGGGAAACCCAGUGCAAUUCGUUGCACUAUUGCAUGGUGAAUACAUAGCCAUGCAAGGCGAACCGGGGGAACUGAAACAUCUAAGUACCCCGAGGAAAAGAAAUCAACCGAGAUUCCCCCAGUAGCGGCGAGCGAACGGGGAGGAGCCCAGAACCUGAAUCAGCGUAUGUGUUAGUGGAAGCGUCUGGAAAGUCGCACGGUACAGGGUGAUAGUCCCGUACACAAAAAUGCCUAUGUUGUGAGUUCGAUGAGUAGGGCGGGACACGUGACAUCCUGUCUGAAUAUGGGGGGACCAUCCUCCAAGGCUAAAUACUCCUGACUGACCGAUAGUGAACCAGUACCGUGAGGGAAAGGCGAAAAGAACCCCGGCGAGGGGAGUGAAACAGAACCUGAAACCGUGUACGUACAAGCAGUGGGAGCACCUUCGUGGUGUGACUGCGUACCUUUUGUAUAAUGGGUCAGCGACUUAUAUUUUGUAGCAAGGUUAACCGAAUAGGGGAGCCGUAGGGAAACCGAGUCUUAACUGGGCGUCUAGUUGCAAGGUAUAGACCCGAAACCCGGUGAUCUAGCCAUGGGCAGGUUGAAGGUUGGGUAACACUAACUGGAGGACCGAACCGACUAAUGUUGAAAAAUUAGCGGAUGACUUGUGGCUGGGGGUGAAAGGCCAAUCAAACCGGGAGAUAGCUGGUUCUCCCCGAAAGCUAUUUAGGUAGCGCCUCGUGAACUCAUCUUCGGGGGUAGAGCACUGUUUCGGCUAGGGGGUCAUCCCGACUUACCAAACCGAUGCAAACUCCGAAUACCGAAGAAUGUUAUCACGGGAGACACACGGCGGGUGCUAACGUCCGUCGUGAAGAGGGAAACAACCCAGACCGCCAGCUAAGGUCCCAAAGUCAUGGUUAAGUGGGAAACGAUGUGGGAAGGCACAGACAGCCAGGAUGUUGGCUUAGAAGCAGCCAUCAUUUAAAGAAAGCGUAAUAGCUCACUGGUCGAGUCGGCCUGCGCGGAAGAUGUAACGGGGCUAAACCAUGCACCGAAGCUGCGGCAGCGAACGUAUCACUUAAAACGCUUAACGUGACGGCAAAGCCGGCAUGUUCAAGCCACACUAAACGUUGAGUUGGCCGAUGUGCUGACAAACGAACAGGCGUUUUAAGGAUACGUUCGUUGGGUAGGGGAGCGUUCUGUAAGCCGUUGAAGGUGGCCUGUGAGGGUUGCUGGAGGUAUCAGAAGUGCGAAUGCUGACAUAAGUAACGAUAAUGCGGGUGAAAAACCCGCACGCCGGAAGACCAAGGGUUCCUGUCCAACGUUAAUCGGGGCAGGGUGAGUCGACCCCUAAGGCGAGGCUGAAAAGCGUAGUCGAUGGGAAACAGGUUAAUAUUCCUGUACUUGGUGUUACUGCGAAGGGGGGACGGAGAAGGCUAGGCUAGCCGGGCGACGGUUGUCCCGGUUUAAGCAUGUAGGCGGAGUGACCAGGUAAAUCCGGUUGCUUAUCAACGCUGAGGUGUGAUGACGAUGCACUACGGUGCAGAAGUAGUUGAUGCCAUGCUUCCAGGAAAAGCCUCUAAGCAUCAGGUAACAUGAAAUCGUACCCCAAACCGACACAGGUGGUCAGGUAGAGAAUACUCAGGCGCUUGAGAGAACUCGGGUGAAGGAACUAGGCAAAAUGGUGCCGUAACUUCGGGAGAAGGCACGCUGGCAUUAGGUAAAGGGACUUGCUCCCGGCGCCGAAGCCAGUCGCAGAUACCAGCUGGCUGCAACUGUUUAAUAAAAACACAGCACUGUGCAAACACGAAAGUGGACGUAUACGGUGUGACGCCUGCCCGGUGCUGGAAGGUUAAUUGAUGGGGUCAGCCGCAAGGCGAAGCUCUUGAUCGAAGCCCCAGUAAACGGCGGCCGUAACUAUAACGGUCCUAAGGUAGCGAAAUUCCUUGUCGGGUAAGUUCCGACCUGCACGAAUGGCGUAAUGAUGGCCAGGCUGUCUCCACCCGAGACUCAGUGAAAUUGAACUCGCUGUGAAGAUGCAGUGUACCCGCGGCAAGACGGAAAGACCCCGUGAACCUUUACUAUAGCUUGACACUGAACAUUGAGCCUUGAUGUGUAGGAUAGGUGGGAGGCAUAGAAGUGUGGACGCCAGUCUGCAUGGAGCCAACCUUGAAAUACCACCCUUUAAUGUUUGAUGUUCUAACUCGGCCCCGUGAUCCGGGGUGAGGACAGUGUCUGGUGGGUAGUUUGACUGGGGCGGUCUCCUCCCAAAGAGUAACGGAGGAGCACGAAGGUUAGCUAAUCACGGUCGGACAUCGUGAGGUUAGUGCAAAGGCAUAAGCUAGCUUGACUGCGAGAGUGACGGCUCGAGCAGGUACGAAAGUAGGUCUUAGUGAUCCGGUGGUUCUGAAUGGAAGGGCCAUCGCUCAACGGAUAAAAGGUACUCCGGGGAUAACAGGCUGAUACCGCCCAAGAGUUCAUAUCGACGGCGGUGUUUGGCACCUCGAUGUCGGCUCAUCACAUCCUGGGGCUGAAGUAGGUCCCAAGGGUAUGGCUGUUCGCCAUUUAAAGUGGUACGCGAGCUGGGUUUAGAACGUCGUGAGACAGUUCGGUCCCUAUCUGCCGUGGGCGUUGGAAGAUUGAGAGGGGCUGCUCCUAGUACGAGAGGACCGGAGUGGACGAAUCACUGGUGUUCGGGUUGUCAUGCCAAUGGCAUUGCCCGGUAGCUAAAUUCGGAAGAGAUAACCGCUGAAAGCAUCUAAGCGGGAAACUUGCCUCGAGAUGAGUCUUCCCUGGGGCUUUAAGCCCCCUGAAGGAACGUUAAAGACGAUGACGUUGAUAGGCUGGGUGUGUAAGUGCAGCGAUGCAUUGAGCUAACCAGUACUAAUGAACCGUGAGGCUUAACCUU